rnacentral:rRNA from 1 species
KGCUCUUCGUCUGCUCUUUAUGGAGAGUCGGACCUGCUCGGUGAAUAGUUUUAACAGCCGCGGUACUCUGACCGUGCAAAGGUAGCAUAAUCAUUUGCCUUAUAAUUGAAGGCUAGUAUGAAUGGUUUGACGAGAAUAAAGCUGUCUCUUUUCGAUUAAAUACAAUUUUAUCUAUAGGUGAAGAAGCCUAUAUUUUACUGAAAGACAAGAAGACCCUGUCGAGCUUUAAACAAUUUAGUAAGUCAAUAACAUACUCGUAAAAGAAUUGAAUUACUAAGGAUUUUGGUUGGGGCGACUAAGGAACAGAAAUAGCUUCCUUUGCUACUUAAGGGCUCGCUAGCAUUGAUCCAGAACUUCUGAUUAAAGGAAUUAGUUACCGCAGGGAUAACAGCAUAAUCUUCUUUGAGAGCUCUCAUCGAAAAGAAGGCUUGUGACCUCGAUGUUGGACCAGAAUUUCCGAAAGAUGUAGCCGUCUUUAAAGGUUGGUCUGUUCGACCAUUAAAAUUCUACGUGAUCUGAGUUCAGACCGGCGUGAGCCAGGUCAGUUUCUAUCUUCAGUUAAUAAAAUAGCUUUAGUACGAAAGGACCAAGCUAUUGUAAAAAUUUACUUAUGAUGAUUAAAUCUAAAAGACAAUUAAGUAUAUCACUUGAUCAAAUUAGCAAAGUUAAUGCAAUUGAUUUAGGAUCAAUAGACAUAGGUGAAAAUCCUUUAUUUGAUAGCAUUUGUCGAAUAAAGGUGGCAGAAAAA